CAGCCCCUGUCCCAGCCUCUCUCCCUGCCUCUGUCCCAGCCCCUGUCCCAGCCUCUCUCCCUGCCUCUGUCCCAGCCCGAGUUCUUUCCCCUUCCGAAUAACUCAGUAGAACUUACCAAGCCAACACCCACUUCAAAGAAACCUUCCAUCUUCCAGAAAACAGGAAACCUGUUUAGUAAGUUCCGAAGAGGUGAGGCUGGAACAGGAAUCCUAAAUCCAGAAUGAGAAGAUUCUACCUGUCUGCAUACCUUAUCAUGUGAACUACUGUAUAUGCAGUUUACUCAGUUUCCUCAGGUGCAGUGAUUGAAGAACAACCCUUUUUGAAGAUAGCAACUUUAUUGUAAUAUUAAAAAUUGUUUUAUUCGAUUUUUUCUUAAUGUCUUGAUAAACUAUUUGAUUGCAAAAAAAACAUCUGGGUAAAUAACGAUUAAUAAUAUUAUUAUUAUUAACAUAAUUCCCUAAAUGUGCUAACUUAUGUCCUUUUACUUUCUUUAAGAAUGUGUAUUAUCUUUCUAUUUGAAAAAGCAGUCAUCUCUUACUGACCACUGCCGUGCUUGUAUGAAGAAUGGUGUCUAAACCAACGUACCAAUGCUUUGUCCAAAUGCCUUAAAACUGCUUGAAUAUGCAACAUGGUAAACAACCAAUCAACAUACAGCCGCCUAUUAGUCUUUACAUUGUUCCUUGUAUGUGAGUCUACUUACUUUACAUAGAUUUGGAUAUUUGUAACAUGUAUUGAGAUAAACAGACGUUUUAAAUUAA